UGCUCAAAAAAAAAAGAAAGAAAAGAGAAAAAAAAGGAAACGUCGCUCUCCCCUUCCUCCCAUCGCCUCCAGGUCUCCAGUGCUCCAUCCGCCAUCGCCUCCAGUGCUCCCGCCGCCAUCGCCGGCGCACGGCACUGACCGGAAAACACGCUCUCAGCUAGGCGCCAGCACCGCCGCCGCUUCCAGGUUCGGAGCGCGCUUGACCGGCAGCAGGCCUCCAUUGCCCCGGCCAGGUCGCAGGUGUAGCUCCAAGAACAGGUGUUCUGUGGCGUGUAUUGAUGGCCAAUAGCGAGUUCGAGUAUGUGAAGAGGGAAUUCGAGUUCGACCAUCACCUCCCGGCCUCCAACUGGAUCAUUGUCUGCUUAGAUGGCUGUCAUUUCCACCGUUUUGUUUUCAGAGAGGGAACAGAAUUCUGUCAAAGACUUCUCUACCAAUAAUUGCAGCAAAAUUCUCUCUUUGUGUGUUUCUUACAUCACACCUGUGUAUGUGAUGAAGUUGAAAGAUUUCUUUCCAAAUAAAGAGUUGAGAGAGGCUCCAUAUUUUGAUGGGCGAGUUGUAUGCUAUCCAAAUAUGAAGACCAUUCGUGAUUAUUUGGCAUGGAGGCAACUGGACUGUAGAAACAACGCUGAAAAUUGACGAUUAUGGGAAUCUUAUAAAAAGAACCCGGUUGGCAAUUACAGUGUCAAUUUUUGAUAUCAUAGGACAUGAGUUUCGAGAAAAACAUCAAAACAUUCUUCGAGAAGGUUAGUUGAAUCAUUAUAGUUUUAGCAAUGCUUCCAGUCCAGCUCCAGUCAACUUUUGAUACAUACAACCAGUACUGUACUGUAUACAACAUCGGUCUAACUGUGUGUUUGGGAGAAGAAAAAUAUAGAUACGAAUAUAUUAUAGAAGUACGAAUACAUCCAUAGGCUUCCAUGUUGUAAUUGAACUGUUGUUCAUAUCAGCGCCUGCCAAAUUGAUCAGUGAGGACCCCUAGUUUCCUAUUUAUGGAAUGUAUAUGCUCCAAUGCCAUUUACAGUUUCUUGUCGACAGUAGUACAAUAUGUAACAUCUGAAUUUAUCUGUUCAUCUACACCAGUAUGUAUGGUAGGACUAGGGUUCCUACCGGCUCUACUCCGUAGGUUAUACGGGCAGAACAGCGAGGGUUGGGGGCGAGGGCGGCGGCUCCGGCGUGUUGGCGCCGUCGCGAGGGAGAAGAAGGGCGGCGGCGGCUAGGGCAAGGUGCGGCUAGGGUUUCCGGCUCCUCUGGAGCCGGGCAAUAUGA